rnacentral:lncRNA from 1 species
CCAUGGAAAGAGGAACACAUCUGCUCUUCAUGAGUUGAAUUGCUGCUCUUCGCUAAGCUAGCUGCGUGGUUGGUGGAACUGGUACCCAGAGACACUAGGAUGAUUCUGGAGGCCUGGGUUAUUUUCCUUCUUGAGAGCUUCUCCUGUACCUGCAGUUUCUCACGAUAAUCAGCUCACAAUAGUCCUUAUGCCAAAGAGGCAUGUGUGGAGGUGCCAUAUUCUGGUCUCCUACAACAUUCAGUAAUGGUCAAGAUGGUUGAUGCAGGAAACAGAUGGAGGGGCAGAAGUUGAUACUCAUCUCAUUAGAUCCAAAGAAGCCAAAUGGUGGCCAUCACCUGUGACAUGAAGAGGGUAUAUUUUAUGGAACUGGACAGCUUUCAGAAUCACAAGCAACCUCUUCAAAAUGUGAUCUACUGAAACGUGCUUGAAAGAGAGAAUAGGAGUGAGGCGGGCAAAGGAAGCAGAAGCCAUUGUGAACUGCCCUAGAGAAACCUUGGGCAUCUUUUUGUUGGGCAAAGUGGUAGAGGCUGAAACGGGG